UACGGGGGGUGCGAGCGUUAAUCGGAAUAACUGGGCGUAAAGGGCACGCAGGCGGACUUUUAAGUGAGGUGUGAAAUCCCCGGGCUUAACCUGGGAAUUGCCUUUCAUACUGGGAGUCUAGAGUACUGUAGGGGGGAGUAGAAUUCCGCGUGUAGCGGUGAAAUGCGUAGAUAUGUGGAGGAAUACCGAUGGCGAAGGCAGCCCCUUGGGAAUGUACUGACGCUCAUGUGCGAAAGCGUGGGGAGCAAACAGG
rnacentral:rRNA from 1 species